rnacentral:lncRNA from 1 species
UCUGGCACAUGCGGAGAUGAAAAGAAUAAGCAUAAUGUGAAAUGCAUGCAUCACGAUGCAACAUGAUAUGAGAAGAUGCACACACGGAAACACAUAUGAUCCAAUCACAUAAACAUGAAUGAAAACACACACAGCAUGCAACGACACUCAAACAAGUAGGAAAGAAACGAAGGAAAAGAAGGAAAUCAAAAGAAACCAAA